GACCUGCGGAGGAUCAUUAUUGAAAUAAACCUGAUGGGUUGCUGCUGGUUCUCUAGGGAACAUGUGCACACUUGUCGUCUUUAUAUCUCCACCUGUGCACCUUUUGUAGACCUGGAUAUCUUUCUGAAUGCACUAGCAUUCGGGUUUGAGGAUUGACUUUCUGUCUUUCCUUACAUUUCCAGGCCUAUGUUUCUUCAUAUACCCCAUGUAUGUUAUAGAAUGUAGUAAAUGGGCCUUUGUGCCUAUAAAUCUAUACAACUUUCAGCAACGGAUCUCUUGGCUCUCGCAUCGAUGAAGAACGCAGCGAAAUGCGAUAAGUAAUGUGAAUUGCAGAAUUCAGUGAAUCAUCGAAUCUUUGAACGCACCUUGCGCUCCUUGGUAUUCCGAGGAGCAUGCCUGUUUGAGUGUCAUUAAUAUAUCAACCUCUUCAGCUUUUGCUUGUUGAGUGUUGGAUGUGGGGGUAUUCUUUUGCUGGUCUCUUUCUGAGGUCGGCUCCCCUGAAAUGCAUUAGCGGAACAAUUUGUUGACCGUUCAUUGGUGUGAUAAUUAUCUACGCUAUUGACGUGAAGCAGGUUCAGCUUCUAACAGUCCAUUGACUUGGACAAAUUUUCAUUAAUGUGACCUCAAAUCAGGUAGGACUACCCGCUGAACUUAAGCAUAUCAAUA
rnacentral:rRNA from 1 species